rnacentral:rRNA from 1 species
CUGAAUCAGUGUGUGUGUUAGUGGAAGCGUCUGGAAAGGCGCGCGAUACAGGGUGACAGCCCCGUACACAAAAAUGCACAUACUGUGAGCUCGAUGAGUAGGGCGGGACACGUGGUAUCCUGUCUGAAUAUGGGGGGACCAUCCUCCAAGGCUAAAUACUCCUGACUGACCGAUAGUGAACCAGUACCGUGAGGGAAAGGCGAAAAGAACCCCGGCGAGGGGAGUGAAAAAGAACCUGAAACCGUGUACGUACAAGCAGUGGGAGCCUCUUAAUGGGGUGACUGCGUACCUUUUGUAUAAUGGGUCAGCGACUUAUAUUCUGUAGCAAGGUUAACCGAAUAGGGGAGCCGAAGGGAAACCGAGUCUUAACUGGGCGUUAAGUUGCAGGGUAUAGACCCGAAACCCGGUGAUCUAGCCAUGGGCAGGUUGAAGGUUGGGUAACACUAACUGGAGGACCGAACCGACUAAUGUUGAAAAAUUAGCGGAUGACUUGUGGCUGGGGGUGAAAGGCCAAUCAAACCGGGAGAUAGCUGGUUCUCCCCGAAAGCUAUUUAGGUAGCGCCUCGUGAAUUCAUCUCCGGGGGUAGAGCACUGUUUCGGCAAGGGGGUCAUCCCGACUUACCAACCCGAUGCAAACUGCGAAUACCGGAGAAUGUUAUCACGGGAGACACACGGCGGGUGCUAACGUCCGUCGUGAAGAGGGAAACAACCCAGACCGCCAGCUAAGGUCCCAAAGUCAUGGU